GUUUUACCCUCAGGCAUAAUAUUAGCUACGCUGUUUCUUGGAAUGACUGCGAUAUAAAAAUUAAUCUAGUCUUACUUUAAACCACUUUUGUGUCACUGUAUAAACUCUGAGUUCUUUUCUAGGAGGCAAGAUGAGUUUAGAUGGGAGAAAAAAACCUGGCAAGUGAACCUAAUAAAAAUGUGCAUCGAAGCCAGAAGUUUCAAAGCAAUGAGGUCUUCCCAGUGACGUGCAGUGCAGCUCCUCUGCUUUCUACAUCACAUUUGAUCUGAUCUAGAUUGCUGUCUAACACAUCCUGUUUGGUGAAUGUUUAUGUCGGCCUCUUCAGGGGAACGAGCUACGAGAGCAUAAAUAUGAAGCUAAAGCUGGCCGUGGGACAUGGCAGGGUGUUUCCCACUGAGAGGAGCAGGCACCGUAUUUGGCGAGAUGAUAGGGAUAAGGAGUGAAGGAAGGAAGGAGCCAGAAAGUAAUUUCCUGGUUACUCUGAGGAUCUGUUUACAACCAAGAGGAGGCAAGUAAAGACUUUCAGAUAAGGAAUAUGCAAAUUUACUUUUUUAAAAAGAGAUUUUUAGAAUUAUUUCCUAUGUCUCAAGACUGUGAUCAUAGUUUCAGUGCAUUUGUUUAAGCACUGCAUUUACUAAUAGUGCUAAGAAUUAGAUGAACGAUGAAAUGUCAAAGUAUGCUGCUGAUAAAAGCUUGAUCAGAGAAGGAAAAGCUGCAAAGGAUUGUCUGAAACACCAGGCAACUCUAAUACCACCGGUGGUUGUCCUAACAUGAUGGCAGAUGAACUUGAAAUAAAAGGUAAUGCAUUUGAAAGAAAUAAUUUAAA
rnacentral:lncRNA from 1 species